CAGCCUGCACAGCAGGGGCCAGACACUAGCUCCAGGUUCGAGGAUCGGACCCAGGGACAAUGGGCCAAAGAUGCAUGGUCCAAGAGAGCCACCAGCCUGAACGCACAGCCUCCUGCUUAGCCCACAGGGCAAGGAAGUGAUGGUGAGCCCAAGGCUGACACCCCAUUGCACCCAGGCCUCAUCCUGACCCUCCAAGGGGCCACCCAACCACAACCUCGGGGCUGAGACAGGAAGCAGCGAGUAUCACUGAUGAACCACAGAGAGACCGUGAGCCCCUCCAGAAGCACAGUGAUACUCUGAUUAAGGACAGAUUCAUAAUCUGGGCCACAGCCAAGACUUUUAGACCCUCAAGGGAGCGCCUGGGGCAAAUGAUUCACUGAGAAGGAGUAGAGAGAGCAUGAGGGAAUUCUCUUUCACUGAAUUCAUCAUCUUCUGUGGGGCAUUUGGAUUUUCCUGUCAUCUAACUGGAAACAAGAAGCUGAAUUUUUAGAGUGCUAACCAAGGAUUCCAAGAAUGGAUACGUGGUUGAAAUAAGGAGGCGUUUCUUUGGGCGUGUUGGGACUGCAGCCUGCGAGACACAGAUUCAAGAAGCACUUGAAUUGUAUCCUGCAGGACUGACUGUACAAUGGGAGACUUAGAAAUGUCAAAAAAAAUGCAAGAUUACAAAAAUUGUUUGCCAAGAAUUGGGACUGGAGCUGGUGAA